rnacentral:rRNA from 1 species
AGAGUUUGAUCMUGGCUCAGGACGAACGCUGGCGGCGUGCUUAACACAUGCAAGUCGAGCGAGAAAGCACCUUCGGGUGUGAGUACAGCGGCGAACGGGUGAGUAACACGUGGGCAACCUGCCCCAGAGACUGGGAUAACGUUCCGAAAGGGACGCUAAUACCGGAUGAUGCGCGACCUGCCAAGUGGGUCGCGCCAAAUGGUASCUUCGGCKUCKACUCUGGGAUGGGCCSRCGYCGGAUUAGCUWGUUGGUGGGGUAACGGCYYACCAAGGCGACGAUCCGUAGCUGGUCUGAGAGGACGAUCAGCCACACUGGGACUGAGACACGGCCCAGACUCCUACGGGAGGCAGCAGUGGGGAAUUUUGGACAAUGGGSGMAASCCUGAUCCAGCMAUKCCGCGUGAGUGAAGAAGGCCUUCGGGUUGUAAAGCUCUUUUGUCAGGGAAGAAACGGUGRAGGCUAAUAUCCUYUGCUAAUGACGGUACCUGAAGAAUAAGCACCGGCUAACUACGUGCCAGCAGCCGCGGUAAUA